AAAGAAUAAUGAUGACCGUAUGACCGUGUGUGUGUGUGCGUGUGUGUGUGUGUGUGUGUGUGUGUGUGUUGGGAUUACUGCAGGUCGGCGGUUCAGUGAAGCGGAAAAUAGGAAACGUAGUUCUGAGGACUUCAGCGGUUUAUUCAGAGCGGAGACGGAGUGACAGAGAGACGGAGUGACAGAGAGACGGAGUGACAGAGAGACGGAGAGAGCAGCGUCGACAGAAACGCAGCCAGCUGAAGAGCAUGCUUAAUUGUAACUAAUUGGAACUCAUCCCCUCAGUGCACAGGAGAAUAAAGAAGACAUAGAGCAGGAGAUGUCUAAAGGCAAACGACUCUGGGUAGAAUCAACAAAAAAUCAACAACAACCAACCUGCAUGAUGAUGUAGAAGCUUCGCAACCUCUUCUCUGUGGAGACCAGGCCUCCAUUCCUCAGCGUCGCCUGAUGGCGGUGAUCAGGAGAGGGGACGCCGAAAGCAGAAGCACGUUUCUCCACAGAGGCAACAGGCACUGAAGCUCUCGAGAUGUUUCAUCAGCGAUGGAGUUUCUCCAUCUCCAUUCUCCUGAUCAAUCCGUCGCUGCUCUCAUGAAGGACAUCAUCUCUCAUCAUCACAUG